GUAGGUAUGCCAGGGUCUGGCUG
rnacentral:piRNA from 1 species